ensembl:lncRNA
GUGACCAUAUGGAUUUGAUCCCUAUCCUUCAGAGGUGCUCAGCCCAAGGGAACACGGGUAGUAGAUUAAGCACUGACCAGGGCCUGAAACAGGGAAGUUUGGCUGCAACAGGGAAGAUCCCCUUGAAAGAGACUGAGUGGUGUUUCAAACCACAUCCAGCCGAAUCAAAUCAGGGUCUGCCGUCACCCUCUUCUGCAUCCACCUCUGCCUGCGAUGGCUCCCUGCCCCUGUAAAAGACAUUAUCUGCUUGAGAACAAUCCUGGAGAGAGGCCGUACUGAUGAGAGAUAUCUCAUGGGAGGACUGAAGGAGCAAAGGCUUUGCAGAACAUGGUCUUUAGAGGGGAAGUUGAGCGGUAGCAACAAAAGUUACCCAUCGGCGAAAACAGCUGGGGAGCCAUCUGUCCGGGAGAAGCCUCCUGCCCAUUUCAUUACCCUCCUUUCUGCAUUUGUGAGAGAACUGGCCGCUGACGGCAGGCAGUUUAUAGCAGAGGGAACAGAAGGAAACCAGUUGGCCCUUGGAUAACCUUGGCCUCAUUAGCAUCGAACCAAAGCCCACUGCGCUAUUGACUUCUAGUAAAUAUCCACCCAUCAAGAAGAUGUCCCGGAGCCCUGCCUCCGGGGUGUUCAGACACCAGACAGAGCCUUCUUGCUCCUCCAUCCCCAGCUUUGUGAUUCAGGAGCGGGUGCCUAACCAUUCUCCCUGCCCAUAACCAUCCAGCACUCAGAAACCACUCCAUCUUCCCGGGAGGGGACAGUGGUGGGGGGUGGGCGGUGGGAAGGAAAGCUCCAUGGUCACCUCGCUGAAAAUCUCCCAUUCUCUCGCUCUAAAGGGCCAAACAAACCCUAGAAAGGCAGUUCAGCAAAUGAAGUAUACGCAAUUAUAUUUCCAACUGCUUUGAAAACUUUUAUUUUUCUACAGCAAAUGACACAUUAUCUCUCUCGAGGUCAGGAAAUAAUGCAGUGGGAGUCUUGCGACAUUGUGAGAGUUAAUGUUUCUAUUUGCCAUUGUGUCCUGCGCAAAGAAAGGCGGCCGGUCACCUGGGGUUACCACAACACAGCGCGGAGAUGGUGGAAUCCACCAGAAGUGCUUUGAUAAUGUUGGACACUAUUGUGCAGGCAAUGGCUUCCUCCUUACCCACGCUGCAUAAUGGGCCUCUGAGUGCUAAGGAGAUAAGCGAUACUAUCCUUGGAGUGUCAGAGGUAGGGCUCUCCAGAAGCUGCAUUCAUAAUUUCCUCCAACUUAAGGACUUCGAUUUUUUAAUAGUAAUUGAAACAUAUAAUUCAAUAGAAGUGUCACUCUAAUAUAAUAAUUGCCAAGGAAAUUGAACCACAAAGAAGUACUAUAAAUGGCAAUUUACCUUUAUUAGUGUACGUGGAGCUGGUAAUGUUUUCUCAUCAAGAAAGCGACCCCCACCCCCGCCCAGAUAUCCUCCCUUUCCAUCUUUUGAAUGUUCAUCAUCAUUCAUGCUGCCCUCUUAAGCAAUACCUUCGCUUCUUCUUAGAUUUCCAGUCGGCAUAUUUGGCCCCUCUUAAAAUGCUUAUCAUUGCAAAGUGUUCAUAUUAAUUGCUCUGGUGAAAGCUUUACAAUACAAACUUCAGCUAAACUCUUUAUUGUCAAAUGUCAGCUUCCUGACGUUCUACCUAGAACAUUUGCUUUUGUGGUUAUAAGUAAUAUAAAGGUGUUUUGUGUAUUUAAAGAACUAUGUAAGUAUAAGUCGCUGUUAUUGUGAUUCUGCACAUCUUUCUUAACAUAAAACAAUAUUUACAGAGGAUGUAUUAUACCACUGAACUAAGUCCGGGACCCAGCAUAGAAUAAAAUAAGAAGCCAUUUCCCUCUCCUUGGGAGGUGUUGCUUGGAGCCACCUGAAUUACUAGUAUCAUUAUUAUUUCUGAUUAUUGAUAGGCAGGGGAGCACUUCACCUCCUAUUCCUGUGGAAAUAUACAACCUGCUGACUUCUUAUCCCACCCCCAUAAUUACUGAGCCAUUCUGUCAUCUGUUUCCUACCCUGAAUUCUGAUCCGUGCUUAUAACCACUCCUUCCCCUCUUUCCACUUACCUUCCUUGAUUCACUUCUAGGACACAUCUAGCAAGAGACUGACCCAAGACAGAAUACCACUCGGGAGCUCAAUGCCCUCACUCUUUCCUGGAAAGGGUCUUUAUUCACAGAAAUCCCAGGAACCUGGGGUAAACUUUAGGUUUACUUAGAGGAAAAAAAAAAAAAAA